rnacentral:rRNA from 1 species
ACGGGUGAGUAACGCGUGAGAAUCUAGCUUUAGGUUCGGGACAACCAUUGGAAACGGUGGCUAAUACCGGAUGUGCCGAAAGGUAAAAGGCUUGCUGCCUAGAGAUGAGCUCGCGUCUGAUUAGCUAGUUGGUAGUGUAAGGGACUACCAAGGCGACGAUCAGUAGCUGGUCUGAGAGGAUGAUCAGCCACACUGGGACUGAGACACGGCCCAGACUCCUACGGGAGGCAGCAGUGGGGAAUUUUCCGCAAUGGGCGAAAGCCUGACGGAGCAAUACCGCGUGAGGGAGGAAGGCUCUUGGGUUGUAAACCUCUUUUCUCAAGGAAUAAGAUAUGAAGGUACUUGAGGAAUAAGCAUCGGCUAACUCCGUGCCAGCAGCCGCGGUAAUACGGAGGAUGCAAGCGUUAUCCGGAAUGAUUGGGCGUAAAGCGUCCGCAGGUGGUGAUGAAAGUCUGCUGUCAAAGAAUCAGGCUUAACCUGAUAGAGGCAGUGGAAACUACAUGACUAGAGUGCGUUCGGGGCAGAAGGAAUUCCUGGUGU